rnacentral:rRNA from 1 species
UACGUAGGGGGCAAGCGUUGUCCGGAAUCAUUGGGCGUAAAGCGCGCGUAGGCGGCCCGGUAAGUCCGUUGUGAAAGUCAAAGGCUCAACCUUUGAACGCCGAUGGAUACUGCCGGGCUAGAGUCCGGAAGAGGCGAGUGGAAUUCCUGGUGUAGCGGUGGAAUGCGCAGAUAUCAGGAGGAACACCAAUAGCGAAGGCAGCUCGCUGGGACGGUACUGACGCUGAGGCGCGAAGGCGUGGGGAGCGAACAGG